rnacentral:sRNA from 1 species
ACUGGGCACGGUGGCGCACGCCUGUAAUCCCAGCGGCUUGGGAGGCUGAGACAGGAGGAUCUCGAGUUCAAAACCAGCCUCAGCAAUGGUGAGGUGCUAAGCAACUCAGUGAGACCUUGUCUCUA